rnacentral:rRNA from 1 species
GCAAGGAAUUUUCCGCAAUGGGCGAAAGCCUGACGGAGCAACGCCGCGUGGGGGAGGAAGCUUUUCGGAGUGUAAACCUCUUUUCUUGGGGACGACGAACGACGGUACCCGAGGAAUAAGGACCGGCUAACUACGUGCCAGCAGCCGCGGUAAUACGUAGGGUCCGAGCGUUGUCCGGAGUUACUGGGCGUAAAGCGCGCGCAGGCGGCUCGUCAAGUCUGGCGUGAAAGCCCCCGGCUCAACCGGGGAGGGUCGUCGGAGACUGGCGAGCUUGAGGGCGGUAGGGGCUGGUGGAAUUCCCGGUGUAGUGGUGAAAUGCGUAGAGAUCGGGAGGAACACCUGUGGCGAAGGCGGCCAGCUGGGCCGUCCCUGACGCUGAGGCGCGAAGGCGUGGGGAGCGAACGGGAUUAGAAACCCCAGUAGUCC